GACGAACGCUGGCGGCGUGCCUAAUACAUGCAAGUAGGACGCACAGUUUAUAUCGUAGCUUGCUACACCAUAGACUGUGAGUUGCGAACGGGUGAGUAACGCGUAGGUAACCUGCCUAUUAGAGGGGGAUAACUAUUGGAAACGAUAGCUAAUACCGCAUAACAGUAUGUAACACAUGUUAGAUGCUUGAAAGAUGCAAUUGCAUCGCUAGUAGAUGGACCUGCGUUGUAUUAGCUAGUAGGUAGGGUAAAGGCCUACCUAGGCAACGAUACAUAGCCGACCUGAGAGGGUGAUCGGCCACACUGGUACUGAGACACGGCCCAGACUCCUACGGGAGGCAGCAGUAGGGAAUCUUCGGCAAUGGGGGGAACCCUGACCGAGCAACGCCGCGUGAGUGAAGAAGGUUUUCGGAUCGUAAAGCUCUGUUGUUAAGGAAGAACGAGUGUGAGAAUGGAAAGUUCAUACUGUG
rnacentral:rRNA from 1 species